rnacentral:rRNA from 1 species
CCUCACCAGGUCCAGACAGCGUAAGGAUUGACAGGUUGAUUGUCCUUUCUUGAUUCUCUGGGUAGUGGUGCAUGGCCGUUCUUAGUUGGUGGAGUGAUUUGUCUGGUUAAUUCCGUUAACGAACGAGACCUUAACCUGCUAUUUAGUCGCUCGGUCUUUGUCCGUGCGCACUUCAUAGAGGGACUCUGCGGCGUCAAGCUGCGGUGAGGUUUAAGGCAAUAACAGGUCUGUGAUGCCCUUAGAUGUCCUGGGCUGCACGCGCGCUACACUGAUGCUUGCCUCGUGUUUACCCUCGGCCGAUAGGCCCUGGUAACCCCUAGUCUGCAUCGUGUUUGGGAUUGAUCUUUGCAAUUCUAGAUCAUGAACGAGGAAUGCCUAGUAUGCGCAAGUCAUCAGCUUGUGCAGAUUACGUCCCUGCCCUUUGUA